rnacentral:siRNA from 1 species
UGGAGAGAUACAAGUCUGUUGC